GAAAUGCGAUAAGUAAUGUGAAUUGCAGAAUUCAGUGAAUCAUCGAAUCUUUGAACGCACCUUGCGCUCCUUGGUAUUCCUUGGAGCAUGCCUGUUUGAGUAUCAUGAAAUCUUCAAAGUAAAUCUUUUGUUAACUCAAUUGGUUUCUACUUUGGUAUUGGAGGUCUUUGCAGCUUCACACCUGCUCCUCUUUGUUCAUUAGCUGGAUCUCAGUGUUAUGCUUGGUUCCACUCGGCGUGAUAAGUUAUCUAUCGCUGAGGACACUGUAAAAGGUGGCCAAGGUAAAUGCAGAUGAACCGCUUCUAAUAGUCCAUUGACUUGGACAAUACUUUUAUGAUCUGAUCUCAAAUCAGGUAGGACUACCCGCUGAACUUAAGCA
rnacentral:misc_RNA from 1 species